UACGGAGGGUGCAAGCGUUAUCCGGAUUCACUGGGUUUAAAGGGUGCGUAGGAGGGCAGGUAAGUCAGUGGUGAAAUCCCCAAGCUUAGCUUGGGAACUGCCGUUGAUACUAUCUGUCUUGAAUACCGUGGAGGUGAGCGGAAUAUGUCAUGUAGCGGUGAAAUGCUUAGAUAUGACAUAGAACACCGAUUGCGAAGGCAGCUAACUACGGGAUGAUUGACACUGAUGCACGAAGGCGUGGGGAUCAAACAGG
rnacentral:rRNA from 1 species